UACGGAGGGAGCUAGCGUUGUUCGGAAUUACUGGGCGUAAAGCGCGCGUAGGCGGCUUUGUAAGUUAGAGGUGAAAGCCCCGGGGCUCAACCCCCGGAACUGCCUUUAAGACUGCAUCGCUUGAAUCCGGGAGAGGUGAGUGGAAUUCCGAGUGUAGAGGUGAAAUUCGUAGAUAUUCGGAAGAACACCAGUGGCGAAGGCGGCUCACUGGACCGGCAUUGACGCUGAUGUGCGAAAGCGUGGGGAGCAAACAGG
rnacentral:rRNA from 1 species